AACUUUCUUGGCUAUUAUUUUUAGAAUAAUCUUAUCUGGUCCCAAGGAAAAUCUCUCCCAUUUUUUAAUUAAAUGGGAUCCUGUUAACUGUGUAGUUUAGCUAAAGAGUCCUAUUUAUCCAUGAUACUCAGUCUUCCUAUUCAAAGAUAUGGCAUGUCUUUCCAUUUGUUUACUAUUUCUUUUACUACUUUCAGUAGUGUUUUGAUUUUUAAAGUAGAGAUCAUCUACAUUACUGCAAUGUGUAUUCCUUGGUACACUGAGCCCUUAUGCCUUAAUUUCCUUCUGCAUUAAAUGGGGUAAAUGAGUAACUGCAAAGGUCGAGACAGGCAAUGUAGACGUUUGACACUUAGACUACUCAGCAUAGCUUUCUAAAAGUAGUUUUAAUAAUGUAUCAUUAAUAUUAUUUUUUCAAAUUAUUUUCUCUUUCUACUUGAGUAUGAAAAGAAUAGCCAAAGCAGAGUAUGACAAGGAGCUUUCUAGUUACAAGAAAGAGCAGUUUUCUUUUUCUUUCUCUGACUCUUGUUUUUCCCAUUUUUCUUCCCAUUUUUUUCCCUGUUGCAAAAUAGGGCAAAUAUGUUGUGUAUGACUGAGAUAAAGAAAGUCCACUCACAGAGGAUAACAAAUCACUGAAAAGGGGUUCAGAUGCUGAAGUACGUGGUGUUCACUAGCCCCUCCCUAGAUGGCAUGACUCCGAGAGAGUCAUUCACUUAAGUAGCAUUUUGACAUCUGCUGAGGGAGGCGAGAAAAGAGCAGAGUUUCUUUUGCUUUGGAGAUAUAAAUGGGAAAGGAGGAAAUUCUAACAGGAAUAUGGAGAGAGUUACUAGCUAGCUGUAUUCUUUACAUUUUAUUUCUGUAUUAUGUUUUAUAAGGUUGCUAUAUUGAGCUGUUAUAUUGGGGGAAGACAUGAAAAGACUGAGAAAAUAUAUUAGAAAUUAGAUCAAUGAGCUGACUGAUUGCUGGACCCGUGACCAUGUGCUACACCUUCCACUGCCCUAUUCUGGCAGCGUUUCCUAGCACUAAGUCCAGUUGUGUGGCAUCAGGAAAGCUGAUCUAAAACCUUCAACUUAUCAACUAGUGGCAAAUAUCGCAGCUCACUACUAAAGACAUUUAUAAAAGACAUUUUAUACAAUUUAAAAACACAUUAAUAUAAAUCAAUAUAAAUCCGGAAGUGUCAACAUUUGAAGGGUGCACAGACUGUCUGAGAGUUUAUUCAGUUAACAAGCACUCUUUGAGAGCUUCU
rnacentral:lncRNA from 1 species